UGUCCCUUAGCUCAAUGGUUAGAGCCUUCGGCUUAUAUCCGAGUGGUUGUCGGUUCGAUUCCGACAGGGACUACCA
rnacentral:tRNA from 1 species